UAAUCGAAUGGUUGUACGCCUGAGACAGCGGGUGCCGCAUGGCUUAAUCGCAUGCCUGCCGAGGUGAAGCGCAAGACCUUUAGUGCCUUUUAUGGGUAUGGGUAUCUACGCCUCCUGCUGUCUUAAGCUGGAGGCUUUUUAAUUUCUAAG
rfam:Actinobacteria bacterium GWC2_53_9 gwc2_scaffold_5592, whole genome shotgun sequence.